AACGAACGCUGGCGGCAUGCCUAACACAUGCAAGUCGAACGAGACCUUCGGGUCUAGUGGCGCACGGGUGCGUAACGCGUGGGAACCUGCCCUUAGGCUCGGAAUAACUCCCCGAAAGGGGUGCUAAUACCGGAUAAUGUCUUCGGACCAAAGAUUUAUCGCCUUUGGAUGGGCCCGCGUUGGAUUAGCUAGUUGGUAGGGUAAAAGCCUACCAAGGCUACGAUCCAUAGCUGGUCUGAGAGGAUGAUCAGCCACACUGGGACUGGGAAACGGCCCAGACUCCUACGGGAGGCAGCAGUGGGGAAUAUUGGAAAAUGGGCGAAAGCCUGAACCAGCAAUGCCGCGAGAGUGAUGAAGGCCUGAGGGUUGUAAAGCUCUUUUACCCGGGAUGAUAAUGACAGUACCGGGAGAAUAAGCUCCGGCUAACUCCGUG
rnacentral:rRNA from 1 species